CGGAACGGGUGAGUAAUGCGUGACCAACCUGCCCCAUGCUCCAGAAUAGCUCUUGGAAACGGGUGGUAAUGCUGGAUGCUCCAACUUGACGCAUGUCUUGUUGGGAAAGUGUUUAGUGGCAUGGGAUGGGGUCGCGUCCUAUCAGCUUGUAGGCGGGGUAAUGGCCCACCUAGGCUUCGACGGGUAGCCGGCCUGAGAGGGCGGACGGCCACAUUGGGACUGAGAUACGGCCCAGACUCCUACGGGAGGCAGCAGAU
rnacentral:rRNA from 1 species